rnacentral:rRNA from 1 species
UACAGAGGGUGCAAGCGUUGUUCGGAAUUAUUGGGCGUAAAGCGCGUGUAGGCGGCCUAUUAAGUCGGGUGUGAAAGCCCUCAGCUCAACUGAGGAAGUGCGCCCGAAACUAACUGGCUUGAGUGACGGAGAGGAUGGCGGAAUUCCCCAAGUAGAGGUGAAAUUCGUAGAUAUGGGGAGGAACACCGGUGGCGAAGGCGGCCAUCUGGACGUCAACUGACGCUGAGACGCGAAAGCGUGGGUAGCAAACAGG